rnacentral:rRNA from 1 species
CGUCCGUCGUGAAGAGGGAAACAACCCAGACCGCCAGCUAAGGUCCCAAAGUCAUGGUUAAGUGGGAAACGAUGUGGGAAGGCCCAGACAGCCAGGAUGUUGGCUUAGAAGCAGCCAUCAUUUAAAGAAAGCGUAAUAGCUCACUGGUCGAGUCGGCCUGCGCGGAAGAUGUAACGGGGCUAAACCAUGCACCGAAGCUGCGGCAGCGACGCUGAUGCGUUGUUGGGUAGGGGAGCGUUCUGUAAGCCUGCGAAGGUGUGCUGUGAGGCAUGCUGGAGGUAUCAGAAGUGCGAAUGCUGACAUAAGUAACGAUAAAGCGGGUGAAAACCCCGCUCGCCGGAAGACCAAGGGUUCCUGUCCAACGUUAAUCGGGGCAGGGUGAGUCGACCCCUAAGGCGAGGCCGAAAGGCGUAGUCGAUGGGAAACAGG